rnacentral:rRNA from 1 species
GACGAACGCUGGCGGCGUGCUUAACACAUGCAAGUCGAACGAUGACGACCGAGCUUGCUCGGUCUGAUUAGUGGCGAACGGGUGAGUAACACGUGAGCAACCUGCCCUUCACUCUGGGAUAACCUCGGGAAAUCGGGGCUAAAACCGGAUAUGAGCUCCUGUCGCAUGGCGGGUGUUGGAAAGUUUUUCGGUGAAGGAUGGGCUCGCGGCCUAUCAGUUUGUUGGUGAGGUAGUGGCUCACCAAGGCGAUGACGGGUAGCCGGCCUGAGAGGGCGACCGGCCACACUGGGACUGAGACACGGCCCAGACUCCUACGGGAGGCAGCAGUGGGGAAUAUUGCACAAUGGGCGAAAGCCUGAUGCAGCGACGCCGCGUGAGGGAUGACGGCCUUCGGGUUGUAAACCUCUUUCAGCAGGGAAGAAGCGAAAGUGACGGUACCUGCAGAAGAAGCGCCGGCUAACUACGUG